rnacentral:rRNA from 1 species
CAGUGGGGAAUCUUGCGCAAUGGGCGAAAGCCUGACGCAGCCAUGCCGCGUGAAUGAUGAAGGUCUUAGGAUUGUAAAAUUCUUUCAGUAGGGACGAUAAUGACGGUACCUACAGAAGAAGCCCCGGCUAACUUCGUGCCAGCAGCCGCGGUAAUACGAAGGGGGCUAGCGUUGCUCGGAAUUACUGGGCGUAAAGGGAGCGUAGGCGGGUUAUCAAGUUGGGGGUGAAAGCCCGGGGCUCAACCUCGGAAUUGCCUUCAAAACUGGUAGCCUAGAGUAUGAUAGAGGUAUGUGGAACUCCGAGUGUAGAGGUGAAAUUCGUAGAUAUUCGGAAGAACACCAGUGGCGAAGGCGACAUACUGGGUCAUGACUGACGCUGAGGCUCGAAAGCGUGGGGAGCAAACAGGAUUAGA